rnacentral:lncRNA from 1 species
UACUCCCCGUGUUUCUUUGCAGUUUGUCAGUUGGGCUGAUUUGGGUUUGCUCACAGAGUAUCAGCCAAGAUCCCGAGAUCAAGUAUCCAGAGAGAACCCGGUGGGACUUAUAUUUCCUUUUAUGGCCUAGCCCUGGAAUAUGUGGCAUCUCUCUGUCCAUAGUCACAGAGGGAAGAAACAGAUGGCAUCUCUCAGUGGGGAACCAGAAUCACAUGGUUAAAAGAACACAUGGGAUGGACAGGUUGCCACCAUUGUUGGCAUACAUUAAUAAAGUCUGCCAUGGCACCCCAUAGCAUUUAGACACCCACCUUUCUAGCCCUACCUCCCACUUAGUGAUUGUCUGUAAAUAUGCACGGCGUUACCUUGGCACUGAGAGAGAUGCAUGGCUGAGUAGGUGUCAUCUCAUCUGUAAGAAGCAAUAGCAGAGGGGAUGCAGAAGGAGCUGCUCUGUUCUGCUCAUUGUCACCUGCUCCUCUGCACACCUUCCUUCAUGCUCUUCCCUCGGCCUCUCCCCAGCUCACACCCCUUUAUUUGAAACUCUGCUCAUUUUUCAGGCCCUGCUUCAAUGCCACCACCUCCAUGCAGCCUCCUCUGAUGUUUGUCAUUAGCAUAGCUCUUUCGUGUGUGCUCCUGCACCACUGAUCCCUUCCACAACAUGGACUGUCUGUGAUGCACGUGUGCAGGAUGCUGGGAGUGCCCAGGUGGAAAGACACACGUGCUGCCCCCAGGAACUGACUGACUGUGACUGCUUCCUGCAUCUGAUGCAUCUCCGUGGGCUCCCCUCAGACCCUCUUCUGAAGGCCUGGGGUGUCUCUCCUGCCACCAUGCCUGUGUCUGCAGGUGCCUGCCACCAGCCCCAGUCUGCUGCACGGGCCCUGGCGAGUAGAAAGCACUUGCCUUCUGACCACAUGGGGAGCUGAGGGUCAGAGACGGAACCAGGGCUCGACCCUCCACCUUGAAACCUUGAGAUGGGGAUGCUCCUCAUUCUAGCCAGCUCCUCCUCAGCUCUCAAAACAAGGAACGGAUGCUCAGGAAACCAGACCUGGACAAAAGGCAUCUGAGCCUGGUGUGAGGCAGAUUCCAGAAGUUUAGUUACAGACAUCCUUUAUAAGGAGUCUUCAUCGGGAAUUCAAGACAACCUGGUGAUUUCAUUGAAAUUGGCCUGUGAAAGAGAAUCCACAUAGACUUCCUGCCACCUCUUGAGAUGUGACAGUUGCUGACCCUCCCGCCACCACACAGGGCGAGCCCCUAGCCCUGAGCUUGAACGAUGUUGCUUGCACAAAUAGCUGGGUGAUUUAGAAGUGAGGUCAGCUGUGCCAGCAGUUACAGGGUGGUGGUUGUCUGUAACUUUAAUCCACUGACUGUUGUACUAGGGCAGUUUGGGCUAGACACUUUGGAGGAGCUCCUGUGAAGGGCAUGAAGGCUCACUGUAGCAGCAGCUCAGUUGUCUUUCAGAGUUCUGCCCUUAGAGCUGGUUUGCAGUGCUCAUCCUUCUUGCUGAUAUUUUAAAAUAGGUAGAAACAGGCUGGGCGCGGUGACUCAUGCCUUUAAUCCCAGUACUUUGGGAGGCCUAGGCGGGCAGAUCACCUGAGGUCAGGAGUUCGAGACCAGCCGGACCAACAUGUUGAAACCCC